UGGGGCUCCCUGUACCCCGAUAUUUGGGCAACCCAUUAGAUCCGCCACUUCGAUCUAGGUUUCAGGCCCGUGAUGUUUAUUAUUUACCCUUCAAGGACCACCUCUCGCAACUGUAUUUUAUUGGAAAUAACAUUUCAACAGAAAGAAUCUCUCAGCUCUUAUCCUUUGCUAUGACUCUCUGCACCCAAGAAUCGUCUUCAUUGGGUCUUCCCGAUUUCCCUUUGGACAGUCUGUCCUCUGCUGUGCGGAUUCUG